rnacentral:rRNA from 1 species
GACGAACGCUGGCGGCGUGCUUAACACAUGCAAGUCGAACGAAGUGGCGAACGGGUGAGUAACGCGUAAUCAACCUGCCCUUCUGCGGGGGACAACAGUUGGACACGACUGCUAAUACCGUAUACUGAAGGUGGGGCUUGCGUCUGAUUUGCUAGUUGGAGGGGUAACGCCCCACCAAGGCGCUGGUCAGUAGCCGGUCUGGGGGGGUGGACGGGCAAAUUGGGACUGGGACACGGGCCAGAAUCCUACGGGAGGCAGCAGUGGGGAAACUUCCGCAAUGGACGAAAGUCUGACGGAGCAACGCCGCGUGAGUGAUGACGGCCUUCGGGUUGUAAAGCUCUGUUAAUCGGGACGCGGUACCGGAAUAGAAAGCCACGGCUAACUACGUGCCAGCAGCCGCGGUAAUUC